GGAAACAGUAGUUAUUAAUGGAGGAGGCUGUAUAUAUUAAAAUUUAUCACCUUUGUAGUCAUUGCAAAGUAAAAUGCUUGAAUAAUUAUAUCAUAUCAUUGACUAAUAAUGAUCAGAAUAAUAUAAGAAGAUGUGGUAUGAGUGCCAAUAAGAAAAAUCUCCAUCUAAGUCACUAUUCGUAAAAGUAAACCAUCAUAGGCCAAAGUACGGUCUUCAACACGGAGCAUUGGCUCACACUGAACAACAAACUAUAAAGGCCCCCCAAAACGAUAUCCAUGUUAUUACUAGUAUAUAUAUUACUAAGAAAAUUGAGUAAAUUGGUGUUAUACCUAAGAAAAAAAUCAACCCUGCUAAUAUAGCUAUAACCG
rnacentral:lncRNA from 1 species